rnacentral:rRNA from 1 species
UGCAUAUCAAAUAAGCGGAGGAAAAGAAACCAACAGGGAUUACCUCAGUAACGGCGAGUGAAGCGGUAACAGCUCAAAUUUGAAAUCUGGCUCUUUUAGGGUCCGAGUUGUAAUUUGUAGAAGAUGCUUCGAGUGUGGCUCCGGUCUAAGUUCCUUGGAACAGGACGUCAUAGAGGGUGAGAAUCCCGUAUGUGACUGGUAGCUUUCGCUCAUGUGAAGCUCUUUCGACGAGUCGAGUUGUUUGGGAAUGCAGCUCAAAAUGGGUGGUAAAUUUCAUCUAAAGCUAAAUAUUGGCCAGAGACCGAUAGCGCACAAGUAGAGUGAUCGAAAGAUGAAAAGCACUUUGGAAAGAGAGUUAAACAGUACGUGAAAUUGUUGAAAGGGAAGCGCUUGCAACCAGACUUGCACUUGAUCGAUCAUCCGGGGUUCUCCCCGGUGCACUCGUUCUCGUUCAGGCCAGCAUCGGUUCAGGUGGUGGGAUAAAGGCCUUGGGAAUGUAGCUUCUUUCGGGGAGUGUUAUAGCCCUCGGUGCAAUGCCGCCUACCUGGACCGAGGACCGCGCUUCGGCUAGGAUGCUGGCGUAAUGGUUGUAAGCGACCCGUCUUGAAACACGGACCAAGGAGUCUAACAUCUAUGCGAGUGUUUGGGUGUCAAACCCAUACGCGUAAUGAAAGUGAACGGAGGUGAGAACCCUUAAGGGUGCAUCAUCGACCGAUCCUGAUGUCUUCGGAUGGAUUUGAGUAAGAGCAUAGCUGUUGGGACCCGAAAGAUGGUGAACUAUGCCUGAAUAGGGUGAAGCCAGAGGAAACUCUGGUGGAGGCUCGCAGCGGUUCUGACGUGCAAAUCGAUCGUCAAAUU